rnacentral:rRNA from 1 species
AUUGAACGCUGGCGGCAGGCCUAACACAUGCAAGUCGAGCGGAUGAAGGGAGCUUGCUCCUGGAUUCAGCGGCGGACGGGUGAGUAAUGCCUAGGAAUCUGCCUGGUAGUGGGGGAUAACGUCCGGAAACGGGCGCUAAUACCGCAUACGUCCUGAGGGAGAAAGUGGGGGAUCUUCGGACCUCACGCUAUCAGAUGAGCCUAGGUCGGAUUAGCUAGUUGGUGGGGUAAAGGCCUACCAAGGCGACGAUCCGUAACUGGUCUGAGAGGAUGAUCAGUCACACUGGAACUGAGACACGGUCCAGACUCCUACGGGAGGCAGCAGUGGGGAAUAUUGGAAAAUGGGCGAAAGCCUGAUCCAGCCAUGCCGCGUGUGUGAAGAAGGUCUUCGGAUUGUAGAGCACUUUAAGUUGGGAGGAAGGGCAGUAAGUUAAUACCUUGCUGUUUUGACGUUACCAACAGAAUAAGCACCGGCUAACUUCGUG